CCGUGAUUAGGCAAGUGGUAUGUCGUCUGGUUUGGGACCAGAACGUCGAAUGUUCGAUUCAUUCAUCACGGACCA
rnacentral:tRNA from 1 species